rnacentral:rRNA from 1 species
GCGUGAAUGAAGAAGGCCUUCGGGUUGUAAAGUUCUUUCAUCUGUGAAGAUAAUGACGGUAGCAGAAGAAGAAGCCCCGGCUAACUCCGUGCCAGCAGCCGCGGUAAUACGGAGGGGGCGAGCGUUGUUCGGAAUUACUGGGCGUAAAGGGCGCGUAGGCGGCCCAUCAAGUUAGACGUGAAAGCCCCGGGCUCAACCUGGGAAUUGCGUUUAAGACUGGUGAGCUAGAGGACGAGAGAGGAAAGUGGAAUUCCUAGUGUAGAGGUGAAAUUCGU